rnacentral:lncRNA from 1 species
UAGAUUUAGCAAAAACUAUUAUCACGUUCUAUAUUUUAUUGCAUGUUUAAGUAAAUAUAUUUCUUAUUGAUAGGUAUAAGCUUCAUGAAUGUGUGACGUGUAGGCUUGUAUACUAUGAUUGUUUGUGUUUCAUGUGUCUAUAUUUGUAUAUUCAUCAGGAUAAUAUCCUAAAGGGUUGCAUGAUCUAAGAUUUUUUUUAGAAAAAAGGAAAUUAUGAUUAGGUCAUAUCUUAAUAUGUCAUUCUGUUUUACCUUGUCAUCUCACUUACCAUGCUCUAGCGUGACAAGGAUUGUCAGUUAAGUAAAAAG